rnacentral:rRNA from 3 species
UUUCCGUAAGUGAACCUGCGGAAGGAUCAUU